UUGAGAAAGAAAUGAGGGAAUUUGGCAUCAACGGCAGAAAUCUUCAUUUGAAAUUUGCGACCUUUUACUUCAUUUUUGUACUUCAUAUUUACAAAACUCUGUUUCAUCAAACUUUAUUCUCAUCUCAACUCAUUCUCAUCUCAAUUGGUCUUAUUCUCUUCUCAAUUCUGCUUGUAAUGAUGAUGAACUCUAUCAACACUGUCAUGCAGGAUGGAGUUCUUCGACUCUAGUUGCCCUUUCUUCUGCAGAUUUUUCCUUUGGUGGCCAUAGUUCAACGUUUGAGACAGGAGAGUCAAGUAGCGUGACUGUUUCUACUGCUGUGGUUGUUGAAGUAGGCCCUUCUUCAACGUUUGAUGUAGGUAGGAGGAUCUAGCUGUGGAGUGGUUCCUUCUAACUUGGGUAUUGCUAAUGGAGGGCCAUUCUUCAGCAUACAUGCUCUUGAUUUGGUAAAGAUUUGUAAUAUUUUUUUUGUUUUGUCAUGUAAUAGUCAUAAUUUAUCAUUGUAUUUCCAUCAUGCUUCCUUUUUUUUAGAACCUUCUCUGCCAAGAAUUUAAGGGUUUGCUAAAUUUCUCACUUGAGGAGUUUCAUGCACCCUUCAAGAUUCACUAAACUUGAGCAUUUGUUGGGGAUUGUCUUCUAAUUAGCGUUGAUAGGGCGGGAAGCCGUUAGGUUGAACACUGUUUGGAAUGGGCAAGAGAUGCAGAGAAAGCCCUAUUUUUAAUGAAAAAUAUUUUUAAUGAAAAAUAUCCCAGAUGUGUUGUAAUAAUUUUCUUAUAUGUUAUUUCUUGAAUAUUUUAUUGACAAAUUACUUUGGGUUUGCCUCUUUUCAGUUCAUCAUGAUCUUUGACCGUCCUUUACAAAUAUACAAUUUGGCUAAGGUUAUGUCACAUUACAUUCCUCUCUUGAGGUGUAACCAAUUUGGAUAUCAUGAUGUAUUGAAGCUUUUGGAUAAGGCUUCACAAAGAUGUGAUGAUCAACGCAAUUUGAGGAUCAUUAUGAGGGAGAUUGUCUUACAUGUUCAACCCUUGGCUUUUCAUCAUGUUGAUAACUACGUUGUUCAGGUUUAAGAAAAGUGAGUUGAAAAGUUAGUAGAAUGUAGGCCCCACAUUUAUAUAUUAGUUUUAUAAUAGAAUGUGAGUGUAAUGAGUUAGUGAAAAGUGAGUCUAUUUACCAAAAGUGGAAAAAGAGCAAAGUGGACAACAUUUCACGAACGGACCGAAAUGGCAAAACUGGACAACAUUUCACGGACGGAGGGAGUAACAGGUUGUCAUUCGUCUUGGGGAUAUUAGAGUUUAUGCAAGUGUAAUUGGAUAAUUGAUGGAUCAAAACACACUCUUGGUUCAUAUAUGUGGACAAUUUGCACAUCAUAUGUACCAUUGCUUGAUGGUUUCAUGCCAUGAAUCCAAUUUGCUUGACGUAAUGCAUCAACUCCAUGUCUUCUUAGAUGUGCAUGAGGUGUACUUGAGGCAAAGUUAGUUGGGGCUAGAAGUUGUUCGUUAUGUUCGUCGUCUUAUCAAUGUUGGAUUGAUUAAUGAAAAGUACAUUUUCUAUCUGAAGAUGAAGAAUGGUUUACCUUGGCGCUAGAUUUCAAAAUUGUUUGCCUAAAAUUAAUCAAUCCAAAACUGUAAACCUCAGGCCGCUGGAACCGCCACUUUCGGCUGAGGAUGGAAGGAGGUGAUCGGCGCAUAGUGUGAGAAUUGAGAAUUGGGAGAGAAUUAAUUUAUAGGUUUGAAAUGAACCGUUGAUGUCUAAUUCAAAUUUACGCGCAAUUUUUAUACUGUCAUCUAUUGAUAUUAUUUUAUUCCAUU